UCAGUCGACUCCUACGGGGAGGCAGCAGUGGGGAAUAUUGCACAAUGGGGGAAACCCUGAUGCAGCCAUGCCGCGUGUGUGAAGAAGGACCUUCGGGUUGUAAAGCACUUUCAGUAGGGAGGAAGGUAGUGUAGUUAACAUCUGCAUUAUUUGACGUUACCUACAGAAGAAGCACCGGCUAACUCCGUGCCAGCAGCCGCGGUAAUACGGAGGGUGCGAGCGUUAAUCGGAAUUACUGGGCGUAAAGCGCAUGCAGGCGGCCUGUUAAGUCAGAUGUGAAAGACCCGGGGCUUAACCUCGGAAUUGCAUUUGAAACUGGCAGGCUAGAGUCUUGUAGAGGGGGGUAGGAAUUUCAGGUGUAGCGGUGAAAUGCGUAGAGAUCUGAAGGAAUACCAGUGGCGAAGGCGGCCCCCCUGGACAAAGACUGACGCUCAGAUGCGAAAGCGUGGGGAGCAAACAGGAUUAGAUACCCCUGGUAG
rnacentral:rRNA from 1 species